AUUGAACGCUGGCGGCAGGCCUAACACAUGCAAGUCGAGCGAGCGGCGGACGGGUGAGUGAGGUAUGGGGACUGCCCGAUAGAGGGGGAUAAAUACUGGAAACGGUGGCUAAUACCGAAUACUGUCGGAUAACCCAUAUGGGAUUAGCUAGUGGGUAAGGUAAUGGCUUACCUAGGCGACGAUCCCUCGCUGGUCUGAGAGGAUGAUCAGCCACACUGGGACUGAGACACGGCCCAGACUCCUACGGAGGCAGCAGUGGGGAAUAUUGCACAAUGGGCGCAAGCCUGAUGCAGCCAUGCCGCGUGUAUGAAGAAGGCCCUAGGGUUGUAAAGUACUUUCAGUCGGGAGGCGUUACCGACAGAAGAAGCACCGGCUAACUCCGUGCCAGCAGCCGCGGUAAUUC
rnacentral:rRNA from 1 species